rnacentral:rRNA from 1 species
AGAGUUUGAUCCUGGCUCAGGACGUACGCUGGCGGCACGCUUAACACAUGCAAGUCGAACGAGAGAAGAGGAGCUUGCUUUUCUGAUCUAGUGGCGGACGGGUGAGUAACACGUGAGCAAUCUGCCUUUCAGAGGGGGAUACCGAUUGGAAACGAUCGUUAAUACCGCAUAACAUAAUUGAACCGCAUGAUUUGAUUAUCAAAGAUUUAUCGCUGAAAGAUGAGCUCGCGUCUGAUUAGCUAGUUGGUAAGGUAACGGCUUACCAAGGCGACGAUCAGUAGCCGGACUGAGAGGUUGAUAGGCCACAUUGGGACUGAGACACGGCCCAGACUCCUACGGGAGGCAGCAGUGGGGAAUAUUGCACAAUGGAGGAAACUCUGAUCCAGCGAUGCCGCGUGAGGGAAGAAGGUUUUAGGAUUGUAAACCUCUGUCUUCAGGGACGAAAAAAGACGGUACCUGAGGAGGAAGCUCCGGCUAACUACGUGCCAGCAGCCGCGGUAAUACGUAGGGAGCGAGCGUUGUCCGGAAUUACUGGGUGUAAAGGGAGCGUAGGCGGGAUCGCAAGUCAGAUGUGAAAACUAUGGGCUUAACCCAUAAACUGCAUUUGAAACUGUGGUUCUUGAGUGAAGUAGAGGUAAGCGGAAUUCCUAGUGUAGCGGUGAAGUGCGUAGAUAUUAGGAGGAACAUCAGUGGCGAAGGCGGCUUACUGGGCUUUAACUGACGCUGAGGCUCGAAAGCGUGGGGAGCAAACAGGAUUAGAUACCCUGGUAGUCCACGCCGUAAACGAUGAUUACUAGGUGUGGGGGGACUGACCCCUUCCGUGCCGCAGCAAACGCAAUAAGUAAUCCACCUGGGGAGUACGACCGCAAGGUUGAAACUCAAAGGAAUUGACGGGGGCCCGCACAAGCAGUGGAGUAUGUGGAUUAAUUCGAAGCAACGCGAAGAACCUUACCAGGUCUUGACAUCGUAUGCAUAGCUCAGAGAUGAGUGAAAUCUCUUCGGAGACAUAUAGACAGGUGGUGCAUGGUUGUCGUCAGCUCGUGUCGUGAGAUGUUGGGUUAAGUCCCGCAACGAGCGCAACCCUUACUGUUAGUUGCUACGCAAGAGCACUCUAGCAGGACUGCCGUUGACAAAACGGAGGAAGGUGGGGAUGACGUCAAAUCAUCAUGCCCCUUAUGACCUGGGCCUCACACGUACUACAAUGGCUGUCAACAGAGGGAAGCAAAGCCGCGAGGUGGAGCGAACCCCUAAAAGCAGUCUUAGUUCGGAUUGUAGGCUGCAACCCGCCUACAUGAAGUCGGAAUUGCUAGUAAUCGCAGAUCAGCAUGCUGCGGUGAAUACGUUCCCGGGCCUUGUACACACCGCCCGUCACGCCAUGGGAGUCGGUAACACCCGAAGCCUGUAGUCUAACCGCAAGGAGGACGCAGUCGAAGGUGGGAUUGAUGACUGGGGUGAAGUCGUAACAAGGUA